rnacentral:rRNA from 1 species
UACGUAGGAUGCAAGCGUUGUCCGGAAUUAUUGGGCGUAAAGAGCGAGCAGGCGGUUUGGAAAAUUGGACGUGAAAUUUUAGGGCUUAACCCUAAAGGGUCGUCCAAAACUCCCAGACUAGAGUGCAGGAGAGGAAAGCGGAAUUCCCGGUGUAGUGGUGAAAUGCGUAGAUAUCGGGAGGAACACCAGAGGCGAAGGCGGCUUUCUGGCCUGUAACUGACGCUGAGGCGCGAAGGCUGGGGUAGCGAACAGG